GAAAUUCCCAAUGUAUUUUAUAACCAAGUUAUUUCUGAUACUUACAGGUGGUCUGGUCUUAUCAAAAGCUCCCAUUGCGAUUUUAAAGCCAGCUCCCUCAGCUAUCAACACAUUUUCUUUUGGGACUCUCACAUCUUCGAAGACAAUACCUCUUGUAUCUGAGCAGCGCUGACCCAUAUUCAUUUCCUGAAGUGGAAAUUUACAGAGGUGUUACUAAAGUGGAUUAUUCAAAGGACUAUCUGCUUCCACAAUGAAUCCAGUAAAGGCUUUGCCUGCAGGAGUUUUUGGAUCUGGAUCGGUACGUGCUAGCAAAAAAUACCUAGUGUAAACCAAAGAAGAUGGAUGCAGUUUAUCCUCACAGUUAACAACAAGAUAUAUUUAGGUAAUAUUUUAAAUGUUUUUAUGCAUGUCUAUACCACAUAAUAAAUUCUGAGUGUAAGUUAACAAACUAUAUUCCUUGCCCAUUCUAAAAAUAAACUGAGAGGGAGCCAGAGAGUGGAAGUCUCAAAGAUUCAGUAUUUAAUAAUGUUUAAUAAAAUUUCUUCAGAUCAACAUGCAAAGAUUCUCUACCCUUUCCAUGUAUUCUAAGUCUUUAUGGUAUUACCAGUUUCACAAAUAGUACAAAAGAAACCUAUUCGCAGCAUGUACAUAAAAAUUAAUGCUUAGGAAAUACAUUCUUGGAUGUAAAAUGUUAUCAUCUGAUUUCAGAUAUCUUGAUUUUAUUCUUCUAAGUGUAAAUUGUAAAUAAGUAUUUAUCUUAGAAAUUAAACAGCUGUAAAUCAUAUUUAUGGUAUUCACUAAUGUCAAAAGAUACCUGGUAGAUUGUCUUUGAUGGAUCUGCCUUCAACGAUGAAGUAAAUUACUAGAAAAUUCAGAUUUUUGGAUAAAUGUAUAAAGUUUUUUCCGCUUGAAUUAAGGAAGAUUUCUGUGUUGUGAAUCAGUGUGAUAUGAGACAUGAAGUAAGAGGUUUAUAUUGUAAAAGCAUGCUCCACAAACACAACAAUAUUUGGAAUCUCUGACAGAUGAAAAAUGUCUUCUUUUCAUAAAAUAAAAAGUAACACCACAAUGUAA